AGGGCCCCAGGUAGAGAGGAGGGUAGUAGGAAAAGAAAUUUCUCCUCUGCAGGGGGAGGGAUUAGAAGAAAGGAAGGAGGGGAGGGAGGUGGAUAAAUGAAUGGAUGGAUGGAUAGAUGGCUGACUGUGGGUAGGCGAGAGGGAGGAAGGAAGGGAGGAGGGGAGGGAAGGAGGUAGAUGGAUGGAUGGAUGGAUGGAUGGAUGGAUGGAUGGAUGGAUGGCUAACUGUGUGCGUAGGUGAGAGGAAGGAAAGAAGGGAGGGAAGGAGAAAAGGAGGGAGGGAGGGAAAGAAGGAAAGAAGGAAGGCGAGAAGGAAAAAAGGGAGGAAGACCACAUAGUACACAUCUACAGCUGGACCUGAGUCCAGGAACAAAACCAACGGCCCACAGCAGGAAGGACAGCAAGGAGGGGCUCCUGGGGCCACAGCCCCUACUGCUGCCGGCAGACAUCUUCACCCCCUAGGACCCCUGUGUCCCCUUGGUACCGGCUCCGGGGGUGAUGGUCACAAACAGGCACAUCUGCUCCCAAAUCAUGGUACAGAAGGGCCCCAGUGCUGGGUCUGAAGAGGAACCGGGAUUUUGUGCAGAAGCAGGCAGAACUGGAUGCGCUGCAUUUUAUCUGGCAACACCAUGGGAGAGCCACGGGGGCUGGGCUGAGUUCUCUAACCCUGUGAGGAUCAGCACACCGGGAGGCUCCGCAGAGAGAAUGAAAGCAAAGCCGAAGACGCAAUCUGAAAUCCUGGCUUCCCCAGGAAAAGCCAGUGCCAGCUACUAAUGAGGAGAAAAGAAAAUCACCACAGUCAAAGCAAGUUCAACAAAAACUUAGCACUUUGCUGCUAACUUGCUCCAAGAAAACCUAAAAUCCUCAACUGGCUCAUUCGUCCUCCAAUACCUCUGAUGAAAAGGUAGACAGACUUUUCCACUAAUUAUUUCAGCCACUGUGAAAAUAUGAAAGCUGACCUGGGAGAGAAGAUACAUAAUAAAAACAAACAACCUCACGGCCAGAGCUGACUUUGUCAAGGUUAGAGUUGCAAAACCUUCGUAAACACCUUUAAAAGUGCAAGAGUUCAGCCAGGCACAGAGGCUCACGCCUGUAAUCCCCGCACUUUGAGAGGCCAAGGCGGGUGGAUCACCUGAGGUCAGUCAGGAGUUCGAGACCAGCCUGGUCAACAUGGUAAAACCCCAUCUCUACUAAAAAUACAAAAAUUAGCUGGGUGUGGUGGUGGACGCCUGUAAUCCCAGCUACUUGGUAGGCUGAGGCAGGAGAAUCGUUUGAACCUGAGAGGCGGAGUUUGUAGUGAUCCGAGAUCGUACCACUGCACUCCACCCUGGGCGACAGAGACUCUGUCUCAAAAAAUAACGACAACAACAACAAAAAAAGUGCAAGAGUUUCCUCAGCUGAACUCUGAUUUAAGAUACUUUUUCACCAAAAGAAAAGAAGGUUUUUAUUGAUAUGCAAUCUCUGAGAGACACCCUGUAUGUGAAACACAUGGAAACCGAGAUUUUGUGACUAAACAUUUCAUUUA